rnacentral:sRNA from 19 species
GGUUAACGCGAGGAGACAGACAUGGGACUUACGCAAUCCUUGAAUGUUCUGUUGGUCAGUGCAGCGUUUGCUUUCGUCCUGUCCAUGCUCUUUAUCUGAGCCGGAUCACGAAGGCGUAACGACUGAUAAUGCCUAAACUCCUGAAGAACUGAUCAUCCGCCAACGAAAAAGCGCAUGUCCCGCCCGACAUGCGCUUU